rnacentral:lncRNA from 1 species
UUCAAGUUUAAAUGGUUCUUUUAUAUACAUGAGUCAAGGCUAUUACCACUUUCAGGAACUAUGAAACAUGGCAUUGUACAUUUACUGAGAAGGGAAUAAAAAUUGCUGUUGUUUUCACUUCAAUGAAUUUUUUCUCAUUCAUCAGAAAUCAGAAACCAUUAACAUUUAUUUCACUUACUUGAAAAAAUUAGACACAUCACAUAUCUAUUUAUAGUUAUUUGAUAAUGAACAUAUACACACAUUAGGUGACAUCAGUUCAAUUCAGUCCAGUCGCUCAGUGUGUCCGACUCUUUCCAACCCCAUGAAUUGCAGCAUGCCAGGCCUCCCUGUCCAUCACCAACUCCCGGAGUUCACUCAAACUCAUGUCCAUCGAGUCAGUGAUGACAUCCGGCCAUCUAAUCCUCCGUCAUCCCCUUCUCGUCCUGCCCCCAGUCCCUCCCUGCAUCAGAGUCUUUUCCAAUGAGUCAACUCUUCGCAUGAGGUGGCCAAAGUAUUGGAGUUUUAGCUUCAGCAUCAGUACUUCCAAUGAAAACCCAGGGCUGAUCUCCUUCAGAAUGGACUGGUUGUUCUCCAACACCACAGUUCAAAAGCAUCAAUUCUUCAGCACUCAGCUUUCUUCACAGUCCAACUCUCACAUCCAUACAUGACCACUGGAAAAACCAUAGCCUUGACUAGAUGGACCUUUGUUGGCAAAGUAACGUCUCUGCUUUUUAAUAUGCUGUCUAAAUUGGUCAUAACUUUUCUUCCAAGGAGUAAGUGUCUUUCAAUUUCAUAGCCACAGUAACCAUCUGAAGUUACUUUGGAGACCCCCAAAAUAAAGUUUGUCCCUGUUUCCAUUGCUUACCCACCUAUUUACCAUGAAGUGAUGGUACUGGAUGCCAUGAUCUUAGUUUUCUGAAUGUUGAGCUUUAAAUCAACUUUUUCACUCUCCUCUUUCACUUUCAUCAAGAGGCUCUUUAGUUCUUUACUUUCUGUAGUAUGGAUGGUGACAUCUGCAUAUCUGAGGAUAUUGAUAUUUCUCCUGGCGAUCUUGAUUCCAGCUUGUGCUUCAUCCAGCCCAGGGUUUCUCAUGAUGUACCCUACAUAUAAGUCAAAUAUGAAGGUGACAAUAUACAGCCUUAAUGUACUCCUUUCCCAAUUUGGAACCAGUCUGUUGUUCCAUGUCCGGUUCUAACUGUUGCUUCCUGACCUGCAUUCAGAUUUCUCAAGAGUCAGGUCAGGUGGUCUGGUAUUCCCAUCUCUUUCAGAAUUUUCCACAGUUUGUGGUGAUCCACACAGUCAAAACAUUGGCAUAGUCAGUAAAGCAGAAAGAGAUGUAUUUCCAAAACUCUCUUGUUUUCUUGAUAAUCCAGGGGAUUCUGGAAAUUUGCUCUCUGGCUCCUAUGCCUUUUCUAAAAUCAGCUUGAACAUCUGGAAGUUCAUGGAUCACAUACUGUUGAAGGCU